UACGAAGGGGGCUAGCGUUGCUCGGAAUUACUGGGCGUAAAGCGCACGUAGGCGGAUUGUUAAGUCGGGGGUGAAAUCCUGGAGCUCAACUCCAGAACUGCCUUUGAUACUGAAGAUCUUGAGUUCGGGAGAGGUGAGUGGAACUGCGAGUGUAGAGGUGAAAUUCGUAGAUAUUCGCAAGAACACCCGUGGCUAAGGCGGUUCUCUAGUACGGUACUGACGCUGAGACGCGAAAGCGUGGGGAGCGAACAGG
rnacentral:rRNA from 1 species